UGAGGCAGCAGGGAUAAAAGCCCGGCAAGUGAAGGAUCAAGAGAAAAUGGCUGGAUACUCAUUUCCAAUGAGAUAAAUCGGCAUAUGUUCAGCACUAGGAAUGAGGUUCCACCAUUGAAAUUUUGAACACCUGUUGAUCCCAACAACAUCCCCGGGCAAAAACUCUUUGGAAGGAAGGAUGCACAGAUCUAUACCAGUUGUGUGUCUACGUAACCAGAAACAAAUACUAUCUUGCACUGAAGGCCAAGAGCAAUCUAUUGCAGGGGAGAUGCAUACUGCAGGGAACCCUUUCAAGACAACACAACAGUUGUUCUUCAUUUUAAUCUGAGUCCUGUGUGGGCCAAAGCCUCGUGCUGCCACAAUGACCUCAGCUCACCCCACAGCCCCUGGCAUGUCCUUACUGUCACGGCCAAGUCUCUUGAUGCCCGUUCCCAAGCUGCUGCCAGAGAACGACCAGGGCAGGUGCGUUUUAAGCUGAUGGUUUGCAUUUUCAGGAUCCUAUGAGCACAAUGCAAAUAGGAGGGCAGCCUCUUUU